CUAUACAUGCAGUCGAGCGAACAGACGAGGAGCUUGCUCCUCUGACGUUAGCGGCGGACGGGUGAGUAACACGUGGAUAACCUACCUAUAAGACUGGGAUAACUUCGGGAAACCGGAGCUAAUACCGGAUAAUAUAUUGAACCGCAUGGUUCAAUAGUGAAAGACGGUUUUGCUGUCACUUAUAGAUGGAUCCGCGCCGCAUUAGCUAGUUGGUAAGGUAACGGCUUACCAAGGCAACGAUGCGUAGCCGACCUGAGAGGGUGAUCGGCCACACUGGAACUGAGACACGGUCCAGACUCCUACGGGAGGCAGCAGUAGGGAAUCUUCCGCAAUGGGCGAAAGCCUGACGGAGCAACGCCGCGUGAGUGAUGAAGGUCUUCGGAUCGUAAAACUCUGUUAUUAGGGAAGAACAAAUGUGUAAGUAACUAUGCACGUCUUGACGGUACCUAAUCAGAAAGCCACGGCUAACUACGUGCCAGCAGCGGCCGGGUAAUA
rnacentral:rRNA from 1 species